AAACCAAACAAUACGGUCUGGAAAAAUCGACAUGGAAUAUGUAAGACACGUCGCACAAACCAUCUGAACUGCUUAAAAGCUAUAUGUUAAAAAAUAGCGUGUUUAUGUACUGACAACUGAAAAUGGAAAACCAAUUAGAGAUGACUUGACGUAUCUCAGAUAACUAUAAAGAUGUACAAUUUUCUCCUUCGAUUUGUUGAUGGUGGGAAAAUGCACAUGCGUCCGUACUUUCUGUCAAGUGACAUCAAUGUCUUUGAGAAAUCAAAGGAGCUUUCUUAAACAAAACAUUCAUUUUUCAUUUACAAAGAGAAUUUAGUUUGAGCUCGUUGCUCGGCAUACUAAAAUCUUAAAUUUCCGAAAGAAUGUUAGCUGCUAAAAUAUUUAAAUUUGAGCAAUUAAAUCACUAGCAUUUUUUGAUUAGUUAUGUUUAAAAAAAAAGAAAGCAAAUCAAGGGACUUCUUUUGAUAAUAUGUCCUCACAAUGCCAUCCAUGCACGCCAAGUCAACAAAUUAAAACCUGUUUAUACAUAUUGGUAGUGGAAAAGUUAUCAAGAC
rnacentral:lncRNA from 1 species